CAAGUUCAAGGAGGACUAUCUCCUGUGGGUGGGACCCCACGCCAGAGCAGGAGAAGCAAAGAUUCACUUAUAGCUCAUGGUGAAGACCAUGAAUUACUAGAACAGAAACCACUCAAACCAACACAGGAAAAGCCUUACAAGAUGCAGUUUCAGUGUGUCAGUGAUCUGACCUGAGCUGGCUUUGGUGUCCAGUAACUCAACAUCACACUUCACCUCUCUUGUCUGAAGUGACCACCAUAAGAGAUGAAGCCCGAAGUUGUGGACUAAAGUAAUUCAAGAGGAGAACAAUAUCUGAGUAUUAUAUUAAAGAAGAGGAAGAGAGGUGAAAAGGAAAAAAACACAGUGAGAGUGGACUGGUAAGAUGGGAGAAACAGCCUUGCAGACACCGAGGUCAGUGGAGAAGGAGAUAAAAGAGGUGAUCCAGUUGUUGGAGCAGAGAUUCCCCUGGAGUCUAUCGGGAAUACCAUGUUGACACGGAUUGACCUCUGCAGCCCAUGGAAGACCUCACUGGAGCAGAUAUUCACAUCCUCACACUAAAAAUUUAGAAGAAAUUAUGUUCUUAUAA